rnacentral:rRNA from 1 species
GCGUGCCUAAUACAUGCAAGUCGAACGCUUUGUGGUUCAACUGAUUUGAAGAGCUUGCUCAGAUAUGACGAUGGACAUUGCAAAGAGUGGCGAACGGGUGAGUAACACGUGGGAAACCUACCUCUUAGCAGGGGAUAACAUUUGGAAACAGAUGCUAAUACCGUAUAACAAUGACAACCGCAUGGUUGUUAUUUAAAAGAUGGUUCUGCUAUCACUAAGAGAUGGUCCCGCGGUGCAUUAGCUAGUUGGUAAGGUAAUGGCUUACCAAGGCGAUGAUGCAUAGCCGAGUUGAGAGACUGAUCGGCCACAAUGGGACUGAGACACGGCCCAUACUCCUACGGGAGGCAGCAGUAGGGAAUCUUCCACAAUGGGCGAAAGCCUGAUGGAGCAACGCCGCGUGUGUGAUGAAGGGUUUCGGCUCGUAAAACACUGUUGUAAGAGAAGAAUGACAUUGAGAGUAACUGUUCAAUGUGUGACGGUAUCUUACCAGAAAGGAACGGCUAAAUACGUGCCAGCAGCCGCGGUAAUACGUAUGUUCCAAGCGUUAUCCGGAUUUAUUGGGCGUAAAGCGAGCGCAGACGGUUAUUUAAGUCUGAAGUGAAAGCCCUCAGCUCAACUGAGGAAUUGCUUUGG